GGUACUGCGGAACUGCAAUAUUAUCGGUCAAAUCCCAUCAUUUAUAUUUGAUGAGAAUACAUAUAUGAGCCGACUUGACUUGAGCUUCAACAAUUUUACUGGUGUGAUCCCAAAUUCUAUUCUGAAUCUGAAAUCAAGUAGUAGCAUGUUUCUCUCCGGAGAUGUGAUCAAUCAGGCAAUUCUCCGCUGGAUUAAUAACACAGUAAAAUCUAAGGGGGGUAUUUCAUACAAUAAUUUUACAACUGAAGAAGCAGCAGUAAAGAAGGGUAUUUCAC